UAUUGAGACAGAGUGCAUGCAUCACUGAUAUUUAGUAGUGAAAUCUUAUCUUGUCUUAUCCUCAGGUUCUGAAAUGUUUACUUCAGAUUGUCCAGAACUUCCUAGACUGCCGGAAGCUAAAAUAAAAUUUAAAAUUUCAUAUUUCACGUAGUAGCUUGAUCUUUAACCUUCGCUUUCCUGAUAAAAUAAAAAAUUUGUACAGCCAUUCUUCCACCUCUGUGGCAGACAUUUGUUUCGUCAUUCAAGAUCUAUCACCUUUCAUCCAUUUAAGGUUCAGAGGAUUUAGACUCUGUUGAUUAUGAUUCUGAUGGUAGUGAAAGAAGUCUUGAGUCCUUCGAGAUUCAGCUAUUUGAGCUAUGGACAACAAUUGUGGGAAAUUCUAGAUUAGCAAAGGUUAUUGGGGGGAACAUUAAGGAGCUAGCAUACUCUCUAGCCUUUCAACAAAUAACUGAAGAACAAGGUCUCCUUUGCUGGAAGAGAUAGUAACUGCUUAUGACGAUUAUGGAAUCGACUCAGUUUUGGAAGCUUCGAAAAUACGCUUUCAUGAAUCUCAAGAAUUGAAACAAGCUGGUUCUGCUGACUGGUGAAGACUACACGAAGCAUCACUUUUUGCUCUAGGUUCACUGUCAGAACAGUUGCGUGAAGCACAGGUUGGGUAAAGUAAUUGUUGAUCAAAGGCUUACAUACAAAACGGAAUAAGUUUUAUGAAAAGUAGAGGGAUCAUUAUUUUAGUUAACCCAAUUUAUUUUUUUAGUU